rnacentral:rRNA from 1 species
UGGGGAAUUUUGGACAAUGGGCGAAAGCCUGAUCCAGCAAUGCCGCGUGUGUGAAGAAGGCCUUCGGGUUGUAAAGCACUUUUGUCCGGAAAGAAAUCCUUGGCUCUAAUACAGUCGGGGGAUGACGGUACCGGAAGAAUAAGCACCGGCUAACUACGUGCCAGCAGCCGCGGUAAUACGUAGGGUGCAAGCGUUAAUCGGAAUUACUGGGCGUAAAGCGUGCGCAGGCGGUUUGCUAAGACCGAUGUGAAAUCCCCGGGCUCAACCUGGGAACUGCAUUGGUGACUGGCAGGCUAGAGUAUGGCAGAGGGGGGUAGAAUUCCACGUGUAGCAGUGAAAUGCGUAGAGAUGUGGAGGAAUACCGAUGGCGAAGGCAGCCCCCUGGCAAGUACUGACGCUCAUGCACGAAAGCGUGGGGAGCAAACAGGAUUAGAUACCCCUGGUAGUCCACGCCCUAAACGAUGUCAACUAGUUGUUGGGGAUUCAUUUCCUUAGUAACGUAGCUAACGCGUGAAGUUGACCGCCUGGGGAGUACGGUCGCAAGAUUAAAACUCAAAGAAUUGACGGGGUCAUAGCUGUUUCCU